UACGUAGGGUGCAAGCGUUAAUCGGAAUUACUGGGCGUAAAGCGUGCGCAGGCGGUGAUGUAAGACAGAUGUGAAAUCCCCGGGCUCAACCUGGGAACUGCAUUUGUGACUGCAUCGCUGGAGUGCGGCAGAGGGGGAUGGAAUUCCGCGUGUAGCAGUGAAAUGCGUAGAUAUGCGGAGGAACACCGAUGGCGAAGGCAAUCCCCGUGGGCCUGCACUGACGCUCAUGCACGAAAGCGUGGGGAGCGAA
rnacentral:rRNA from 1 species